rnacentral:rRNA from 1 species
GGACCUGACUGCUAUCGGAUUGAUACUAAGCCAUGCGAGUCAUUGUAGCAAUACAAGGCAUACGGCUCAGUAACGCGUAGUCAACCUAACCUAUGGACGGGAAUAACCUCGGGAAACUGAGAAUAAUGCCCGAUAGAACAUUAUGCCUGGAAUGGUUUAUGUUCCAAAUGAUUUAUCGCCGUAGGAUGGGACUGCGGCCUAUCAGUUUGUUGGUGAGGUAAUGGCCCACCAAGACUAUUACAGGUACGGGCUCUGAGAGGAGUAGCCUGGAGAUGGGUACUGAGACACGGACCCAGGCCCUAUGGGGCGCAGCAGGCGAGAAAACUUUGCAAUGUGCGAAAGCACGACAAGGUUAAUCCGAGUGGUUUCUGCUAAAGAAACCUUUUGUCAGUCCUAGAAACACUGAUGAAUAAGGGGUGGGCAAGUUCUGGUGU